rnacentral:rRNA from 1 species
GGGGUAUUGUGCACGCUUGUCAUCUUUAUCAUUUCUCCAAAACUGUGCACAUACUUGUAGACCUGGAGUGGGCUUUUUUAUUUCGAAUUCAUAUUCGAAGUUGGGGGACUGCUGCGCUUUUUCAUACACAAAAAAAAGUCGGCUUUCCCUUGUAUUUUUAAUAACCAGGUCUAUGUUUUCACAAAAACAUAUAUGUUUAGAAUGCUAUAAUAAAUAAAAAAAGUUAUAAACAACUUUCAGCAACGGAUCUCUUGGCUCUCGCAUCGAUGAAGAACGCAGCGAAAUGCGAUAAGUAAUGUGAAUUGCAGAAUUCAGUGAAUCAUCGAAUCUUUGAACGCAUCUUGCGCUCCUUGGUAUUCCGAGGAGCAUGCCUGUUUGAGUGUCAUUUGACUUCUCUCAACCACAUCGAAAUUGAUGUGCGCUUGGAUGUCGGGGGUUUGCAGGCUUUCUUUUCUAAUGAAAGCUGGCUCCCCUGAAAUGCAUUAGUGGUGAUCUGAGCUGCUAUUGGUGUGAUAAAUCUAUCUAUGCCUUUGGUAAUGCUGGUCCAGCACCGCUUAUAACAACAAACAUUUGACAAAAUUUGACCUCAAACCAGGUAGGACUACCCGCUGAACUUAAGCC